AAAAAAAUAAAUAAAUAAAUAAAUAAAUAAAAAUAAAUAAAAUGUGCCUCGAUAGUGAGCUUUGUUUGUCGUGUUACCAACCCUCCAAUUAAAAAAAUGUAAGAUAGAAGCUUUGUGGGGAAGCUGCUGGUUGUCUUGGCCCCAUCCAGGUUUCCUGUAUAUUCCAGGUUUUUUCUGGCCUCCCUGACUAUCCAGCUAUAGUAUGAGUGAUGGUAACGCCCAAAUAUAUGUCUAACUAUCAUCUGGCAGCAGCUGUCUUGUAUACAAAUACAGCUGUGGUGGGAGUUCGUCUAUGGGGAAUACACAUGCUGUGUAUUUGUGGGGUUGAAGUGUUUCCAAUGGUCAACUUCAGGCCCAUAGACUCAGGUUAUUUAUGUAAAUAUAAUCAGUCGAAUCGUAGGUACUGUCCAAGGGGAUUAUCACCCCUUGGUUCAGGUCUAUGUCAGAGGGGGUCGCUACCCUUCGUGCAGAGCUCCUAUGGAGCAUUCAGUCUCUCCUAGCAGGUCUUAUAUAUACGCCUGCGGGAUGAAAACAUAAGGCUUAAUGAGUCUUUGGGUUGACCAGAGUUUGAGAGUAUAAUGUAUAUAAUUGGUUCACUUCACCCUGAACCCAUUCUCCCACAAUGAUUUGGUGUGUGUUUUGCUUAUUUUCGGGCUGUUCUUUCACCUAACGUGCUUGAAUUAUUAA